rnacentral:lncRNA from 1 species
GGACACUGAAAGACAGGGUUCACUCCCUCUGCUGCGCAGCUGGAGCUCAGAGCCCGCAGGCCACAACCCCCACCCGCCACACACAACAUGGCGGCGAUUUAGACCUACGUCCAACUUCCGUUUCCUGUGCGGAUGUACGUCACUUCCUCUCCGGUUGCCCUGGAGUUUUAGAAGCCAAGAAGGUGCAGAGUCUGUUCCUCAUCCCUUACGAAUUCUUGCUUCUGCCGCAGCACAGUCUUACGGAGCAGUUUCGAGGCUCUGCCGCCAGCGGCUUGAUGGACCCUCAAGAUCAUUACCUGAGCGGAAACUGAGCCAGAUGCUUAACAGACUGAGCCACCCACAUGCCCCAACUUUUAUUUUUUUAAACGAAGAUCUUUUUUACUUGAAGAAACUUAAGGAUUUGGGCAUCCUAGGAUGUGCUGUGAGAUCGAAAGCAGUAGAAUUUUUGCCAUAGAUCAGAA